rnacentral:rRNA from 1 species
GGCGAGUGAAGCGGCAACAGCUCAAAUUUGAAAUCUGGCUCUCGGGCCCGAGUUGUAAUUUGUAGAGGAUGCUUUUGGUGAGGUGCCUUCCGAGUUCCCUGGAACGGGACGCCAUAGAGGGUGAGAGCCCCGUCUGGUUGGACGCCGAACCUCUGUAAAGCUCCUUCGACGAGUCGAGUAGUUUGGGAAUGCUGCUCUAAAUGGGAGGUAUAUGUCUUCUAAAGCUAAAUACCGGCCAGAGACCGAUAGCGCACAAGUAGAGUGAUCGAAAGAUGAAAAGAACUUUGAAAAGAGAGUUAAACAGUACGUGAAAUUGUUGAAAGGGAAGCGCUUGUGACCAGACUUGGGCUUGGUUGAUCAUCCGGGGUUCUCCCCGGUGCACUCUUCCGGCUCAGGCCAGCAUCAGUUCGCCCUGGGGGAUAAAGGCAUCGGGAACGUGGCUCUCUCCGGGGAGUGUUAUAGCCCGUUGCGUAAUACCCUGUGGCGGACUGAGGUUCGCGCAUUCGCAAGGAUGCUGGCGUAAUGGUCAUCAGUGACCCGUCUUGAAACACGGACCAAGGAGUCGUCUUCGUAUGCGAGUGUUCGGGUGUCAAACCCCUACGCGAAAUGAAAGUGAACGCAGGUGAGAGCUUCGGCGCAUCAUCGACCGAUCCUGAUGUUAUCGGAUGGAUUUGAGUAAGAGCAUACGGGGCCGGACCCGAAAGAAGGUGAACUAUGCCUGUGUAGGGUGAAGCCAGAGGAAACUCUGGUGGAGGCUCGCAGCGGUUCUGACGUGCAAAUCGAUCGUCAAACAUGGGCAUGGGGGCGAAAGACUAAUCGAACC